AGAGUUUGAUCCUGGCUCAGAGCGAACGUUAGCGGCGGGCCUAACACAUGCAAGUCGAACGAGAACGCUCCUUCGGGAGUUAUUAAAGUGGCGCACGGGUGAGGAACGCGUAGGUAAUNUACCCUCCGGCGGGGGACAACAUUCCGAAAGGAAUGCUAAUACCGCGUAAGACCACGCUCACUACGGUGAAAGCGGUUAAAGGUGCCUCAAAGCACCACCAGAGGAUGAGCCUGCGUCCCAUCAGCUUGUUGGUAAGGUAAUGGCUUACCAAGGCGAAGACGGGUAGCUGGUCUGAGAGGAUGAUCAGCCACACUGGCACUGGAACACGGGCCAGACUCCUACGGGAGGCAGCAGUGAGGAAUAUUGGGCAAUGGGCGAAAGCCUGACCCAGCCACGCCGCGUGUGUGAUGAAGGCCUUCGGGUCGUAAAGCACUGUGGGGAGAGACGAAAAAGCGCAUGAGGAAAUGCUUGCGCCUUGACGGUACCUCCUUAGCAAGCACCGCUAACU
rnacentral:rRNA from 1 species